GAAAGUUCUGGAGUGUCGCAGCUCAGCCAAGACUCACUCACCAAAGGGAAGGGCUGACCUUGCAAAGGCUGUCCCUGCAGUGCCCACCCCACCAGGCUGCUGGCACUGCCCUCUGGGCUGCUGCUACGGGAGUUUCUAUUUCAGGCAUUGCUUUAAGCAGUACAGGUGAGGGGCAGCACAUUCCCAGUCCAAAAUAGAAUGGCUUAAAUUAUUAAUAUGCACUUGCACCACGGGCCAGCAUGCUCUCCCUGAAUUGUAUGCCUCAUGCCCUUCCUUCCUCUCCCCAUCCUGAAAGCAGCCUGGUGCUGUGGAGUUUGUGGAAAUGUAACACCAGCUGCCACCUGAAUUUUGCUGGACCUGAUGAACAGUAAGCAGCUCCAGGUGUCAACUGAGCAAAGUCCAGAUCAGCUGCAGUUAUUCCAGAGUAUGCGUCCACAUGCAGAAUAUUCCAGAACAGGUAUUUCACUUUAAAUUCAUGCCCCAUCUUAUUCCAGAAUAUUUUCCCUGCAUGAAGAAGCACUUGGCUGGGGUCUCUGCUUGCUGCUGUACUAGUGAUAAGA
rnacentral:lncRNA from 1 species